CCAAUGGAUGCGAUGGAUGGAUCCGAUGGAUCCAUUGGAUCCAUCGCAUCCAUUGGAUCCAUCGCAUCCAUUGGAUCCAUCGGAUCCAUCGCAUCCAUUGGAU